AGCACUCAGCAGUUUCUGGAAUACAAAUUCACAUGGUACAAGGAUGGUAGAACUACGGAGGGGUAUUGGGUAGGGUGGCCCGAAUGAUUAAAGAGAUUGUAUACGUAUUACAAGUGCCCCCGAUGUUAUCUGGUUGCAUGCCUAACUCAAAACGAAUUUUCUAAAGAUUUCUAGGUAAAUAUCCUUUACUUAUCGUUUCACGUACGAGGGUGCUAGAGCGUCGGGAAACCCGUCGGUCGCAGAGUGCAAUUAUUGGCACUCGAAUAAAGAUUUAAAAAGUAUCUCGUUGUACUUGGGACAUUUUAGAUUACUUCGUAAGUCCUUUUAACGAAAA